rnacentral:lncRNA from 1 species
UCAGUUUGUAUAGAUAACUAUAUCUUAGUUGUAUUUAAUCCACAACAAAAAACUCUAAUCCUCAAAAUUUUGCAGAUACUAUGGAUAUAUAUAUAUAUAUAUAUAUAUAUAUAUAUAUUUAAGAUUUAUUUAUUUAUUUAUUCAUGAGAGACACAGACUGAGAGAGAGAGAGAGAGAGAGAGAGAGAGGCAGAGAUACAGGCAGAGGGAGAAGCAGGCUCCCGAUGUGGGACUCGAUCCUGCAUCCCAGGAUCAUGACCUGAGCUGAAGGCAGGCGCCCAACUGCAGAGCCACCCAGGCGUCCUGGAUGUUUAUACUUGAUUUUGUUUUGUCAUGAUGCCACCAAUAUCUUGGUUAGAUGGCUGCCACUCAAGGUGAGUAAAUAUGCACAUCUCCUUCCCUUUGUACAGAUUAGGUAGGCUUUGGUUUGGUCAGCCAUUAGUAUUUGUAAACCACCUGUGAAUUGAUUUUGUACUAGACUGUUAGACUGUAUGCUGAGUAAUAGAGCUCCUGGGUGGAUAAGUUCUAGGGUUCUUCUUGGUAUAUAUUUAGACAGCUCAAAAAUGCAAAUAAACAUACUACUCUUCCAGGUAGUGUGGACAAAAGGUUCAGUGCCAUCCCUGACUUAAGAUUUGUCAUUACUUGACUAGGAUUUUCUUAUAUGUGACAGGCGCCCCCUAGUGAAUAAAGGGACUUAAGUUGGCCUCUAUUACAAAACGCUAGAAAAAUAUCUGAAGCUAGUUUAACUAAAGUUCACACUGCAUUAUACAAGUAAAAGAGAGAGGAAAACAAACCAUAAUAGACUCUUAACUAUACAGAAUAAACCGAGGGGAGGUGGGCGGAGGAUGGGCUAAAUGAGUAAUGGGUAUUAAGGAGCACACUUGUGAUGAGCAGUGAGUGUUAUACAUAAGUGAUGAACCACUAAAUUCUACACCUGAAACCAAUUUUACUAUAUAUGUUAACUAACUAGAAUUUAAAUAAAAACUUGGGAAAAAAGAUGCCAAUUUUUGUGCAUGUGAAUACAGAUGAGAGCGGGGAUCUGUUCUCCAUAAAAAGCAUCCAGGAUUUCAUAACACAAAAGUAGUAAUCAGUUUUCUAGAUGAAGAUCAAGCUAAUCUGAACUUUGCUAGGUCAUCAAGGUACAGGAGUAGAUCACUGAUCUUUACUCUCCAGGUAUUACAACUUGAAUUGAUUUUUAUAAAAUGUAUUUUAAAUAUAGAUAUCUAUAUAUCUAUACCUAUAUAUGUCUUCUGAAAUAAGUAUGAUACACAUAACUUGGGGUCGAGAUUUGAGAAACCAUAAUUUCAAUCCAAAAACUUUAAUCUGGUAAAUAUAUUUGAUAAAUUACAUUUUUUAGGUUAAUUUCAGGAAUAGAGCAUUAAAGAAGACAGGUUGCUUGAUAAAAUCAAUUACAUUUAAUAACCUUUUCUCUUCCUAACGCUUCUGUCACUUACAAUAGUUUUUAAGUUCUGAAAUAAAUAUGCUAUAAUUUUGACAUCGUCAUACAUAUUAAUUAUUAUAAGUAAAAUAAUAUAUAAUAAAAUAAAUAGCAUUGGGUUAGGUCCUGAACAAAGAACCAAAAAUAAUUCUUACUCUCUAGAUGUUUCCAAUAUAAAAUAAAAUCAGAGUAUAUAACCAAGUCAACUGGAAAACAAAUAAAUAUGAUAAAAAAAAACAGUAUUCACAUUUUAACAGUGUCAAAGGGAAGAAGCAAUCACACACCUACUUGAUUCAGUGGCCUUCAAAUGGAGCAUCCUAAACCAACAAUCAGAGGAAAGGUUAAACAAAAAGUAGGUGAUGUGUUUAAAUAACAAGUAGGUAAGAAGUUUAUUGGAUCACUCUCAAAGGUCCUGUUUGAUGUCAGAAACUAUCAAGAACAGUAUGUAAUGUGUAUUUGCAGCACUCCAGGGGUUCACUUUUCAGGGGGUAGAUUAGCCAGCCUGUUGCCUCCCACCUUAUCAUCUAAACAUUUUUUAAAAAUAUUUUAUUUAUCCAUUCAUUCAUUCAUGAGAGACACACACACAGGGAGAGAGGCAGAGAACAGGCAGAGGGAGAAGCAGGCUCCAUGCAGGGAGCCCGACGUGGGACUCGAUCCCAGGUUCCCAGGAUCACACCCAGGGCCGAAGGCGGCGCUAAACCUCUGAGCUACCAGGGCUGCUCCUAAACAUUUUUUUUUUAAAUUAAAAAAAAUAUGUUUUCCUAUUUCACCUAGAUUGCCCUUUGCCUUCUGGGCAAUUAUCCUUUUACAUUCACCUGAACUCCUCCAGGUCCAAGAGGACUUCUCCAACUGUAAGUCCCCUCUUCAUCCUCCCUCUUCUCUGAAGCUGUAAGGACCUUAAUUUAACACAAUUCUAUUGCUUUGAUGGUUCCACGUAUAUUCAAAGAGCUUACAAAGCACAUGCAAGCAAAGCAUUCAUUCGAAUUAUUUGCAACCUGGUUAACGAGUAGACCCCAAAGUCCAUUCUCCACCACUGCAGCUUGGAAGACAGUAUCACUUGACUAACUUAGAGGGAUAACUUGAGCAUUGCUCUUGUAUGACAGGCAUGUGCUGGUGGAGGUGAAAAAAAAAAAAACAAAAAAAAA